GUCAAAGUGGAGACGAGAGCUUCUUUUUCUUGUACUUGCUGUUCUUCUUAAGCAAGGGACAGUCCAUUCUGAAAUGUCCCGGCUUCUUGCACUCAUAGCAAGCGGUUCCCUCACUUUCCCUUUUCUUACCUUUGUCCUUGUUGUGGAAGCUUGAGGAACCUCUCUUCUGAUGAAAAGACUUCUUCCGGUUGUUGAAUUUUCUGAACUUUCUCACGAGAAGAGCCUCAUCAU
rnacentral:lncRNA from 1 species